rnacentral:snRNA from 1 species
GGAUGUGAGGGCGAUCUGGCUGCGACAUCUGUCACCCCAUUGAUUGCCAGGGUUGAUUCGGCUGAUCUGGCUGGCUAGGCGGGUGUCCCCUUCCUCCCUCACCGCUCCAUGUACGUCCCUCCCGAACCUGCGUGCUCGGUGGAAGAGGAUGACCAUCCCAGAUAGAAGGAGUGUACCNCUUCCUUCCU